CGGACGGGUGAGUAACGCGUGGGUAACCUGCCUCACACUGGGGGACAACAGUUAGAAAUGACUGCUAAUACCGCAUAAGCGCACAGGACCGCAUGGUCUAGUGUGAAAAACUCCGGUGGUGUGAGAUGGACCCGCGUUUGAUUAGCUAGUUGGUGGGUAACGGCCUACCAAGGCGACGAUCAAUAGCCGACCUGAGAGGGUGACCAGCCACAUUGGGACUGAGACACGGCCCAA
rnacentral:rRNA from 1 species